AUUUUUUUUUUGCUUAUUCAUUGAUAUUCUUAUUUAGGUUUGUAGUAUUUUUAUUUUCAGAGCACAAAGAAAGAUCGGGGCAAGAGCAGAAUAGAUGAAGAUGAACUCAAAGAGCUGAGCGUGUCACUUACUGAGCUUCAACAGCAAAAAACAGCCACACUUCAUACUCUGAAGAAGCGGAGAGAGGAAAUGGAUCAAGCUAAGAGAGAGCAUCUCUCUCUCCAGCUCAGUGUGAAGGACAGCAGAGCACAGGCUCAGAACAUCACGUGUGAGCUACAAAGACUGCAGGCCCAGAGGAACUUAUGCUUGGAGG
rnacentral:lncRNA from 1 species